rnacentral:rRNA from 1 species
CUACGGGGGGCAGCAGUGGGGAAUAUUGCACAAUGGAGGGAACUCUGAUGCAGCAACGCCGCGUGGAGGAUGACACUUUUCGGAGCGUAAACUCCUUUUAUAUAGGAAGAAGAUGACGGUACUAUAUGAAUAAGCGCCGGCUAACUCCGUGCCAGCAGCCGCGGUAAUACGGAGGGCGCAAGCGUUACUCGGAAUCACUGGGCGUAAAGAGCGUGUAGGCGGAUUAAAAAGUCAGAAGUGAAAUCCUAUAGCUUAACUAUAGAACUGCUUCUGAAACUCUUAAUCUAGAAUAUGGGAGAGGUAGAUGGAAUUUCUGGUGUAGGGGUAAAAUCCGUAGAGAUCAGAAGGAAUACCGAUUGCGAAGGCGAUCUACUAGAACAUUAUUGACGCUGAGACGCGAAAGCGUGGGGAGCAAGCAGGAUUAGAUACCCUCGUAGUC